CUCGCCGCCGGGGCCGACAUCGACGCCGCGAUGGCCGUCGACGCCGCGCUCCGGGACGAGACGACAUGUGGCCGCCUCGCGGCUGAAUCGCAAC
rnacentral:ncRNA from 1 species